GACGAACGCUGGCGGCGUGCCUAAUACAUGCAAGUAGGACGCAGUUGCGAACGGGGGAGUAACGCGUAGGUAACUACCUAUUAGAGGGGGCUAACUAUUGGAAACGAUAGCUAAUACCGCAUACUAGUAGAUGGACCUGCGUUGGAUUAGCUAGUAGGUAGGGUAAUGGCCUACCUAGGCAACGAUACAUAGCCGAGCGGAGAGGGUGAUCGGCCACACGGGGACUGAGACACGGCCCAGACGCCUACGGGAGGCAGCAGUAGGGAAACUUCGGAAAUGGGGGGAACCCUGACCGAGCAACGCCGCGGGAGUGAAGAAGGUUUGCGGAUCGUAAAGCUCUGUUGUUAAGGAAGCGGUACUUAACCAGAAAGGGACGGCUAACUACGUGCCAGCAGCCGCGGUAAUAC
rnacentral:rRNA from 1 species